UACAGAGGGGGCAAGCGUUGUUCGGAAUUACUGGGCGUAAAGGGCGCGUAGGCGGCCCGCUAAGUCGAACGUGAAAUCCCCGAGCUCAACUCGGGAACUGCGUCCGAUACUGGCGGGCUUGAAUCCGGGAGAGGGAUGCGGAAUUCCAGGUGUAGCGGUGAAAUGCGUAGAUAUCUGGAGGAACACCGGUGGCGAAGGCGGCAUCCUGGACCGGCAUUGACGCUGAGGCGCGAAAGCAUGGGGAGCGAACAGG
rnacentral:rRNA from 1 species